rnacentral:rRNA from 1 species
CCUACGGGUGGCAGCAGUGGGGAAUAUUGGGCAAUGGGCGCAAGCCUGACCCAGCAACGCCGCGUGCAGGAAGAAGGCCCUCGGGUUGUAAACUUCUUUUAUCAGGGACGAAAAAGUGACGGUACCUGAUGAAUAAGCCACGGCUAACUACGUGCCAGCAGCCGCGGUAAUACGUAGGUGGCAAGCGUUAUCUGGAUUUACUGGGUGUAAAGGGCGUGUAGGCGGGGAAGCAAGUCAGAUGUGAAAUUCCAGGGCUCAACCCUGGAACUGCAUUUGAAACUGUUUUUCUUGAGUGAUCGCGGGGCAGGCGGAAUUCAGGGUGUAGCGGUGAAAUGCGUAGAUAUAAGGAGGAACACCAGUGGCGAAGGCGGCUUGCUGGACAUUAACUGACGCUGAGGCGCGAAAGCGCGGGGAGCAAACAGGAUUAGAUACCCCUGUAGUC